UGUGACAAAACCAGCCAUCUCCACCAGUCUCCUGGCUGCAGGCUUUGCUGGAGCUGCCCUGGCCCGAGCAGCACCUGGGGCUGAGGGCUUGUGCCCAGGGAAGGAGCGACAUCCUGGGACGGGGCUGCUGGCAAACCCACAUGCAGGCGGUGGACCCUGCUGUGGUCAAGGCCUGGUUAUCCAGCCUGGCGGCCCAGCCACUUCAGUGAGACAUUGUCUGUAAGACUAGCUUUGGAGGAUCAAAGAAAAAACUCAUCAAGGCCUAAUUUCUUCUUCAAACCCCAAGAGCUCCUUCCAUCUCUAGAGCUACACCCUGAGUCCAGAACAGUUGUGACAUCUCUGAGGCACCUUGUUCUGUCUCUUCUUCAUCUUCUCCAUCCUGUUGACAAUUGAUGACAUCUUGGUUGCAGGAGGAGUGAGGGUCCCCCCAGGACACGGCCUCUCCAUCUGCUCCUCAGCAACAGAUGCUGUUGUUCUCCUGCACCAUCAAUCCCUUUCAGGAAGGGACAGGGAUUAGGUGUUGUUAACAUGUCUUAAGGUAAUUUCUCUAAAUGGCAUUUUGCUUCCCAGCUUUACCCUCAGUUGCUGGUGGGGGGCUGUGAUGCUUCGGUUCACUCUGCAGCCCCCAAGGCCUAGGUCUUACCACAGUGGCUACAAGUCCUGUCUUUUGCCCAAAGGAGAUGGAGACGUGGGCAGCAGUGAGGCUGGGGUGCAGAGAAGUCCCAUAGGUAUUGGGACCCCUAUGCAGAAGUACUUCAUUCGGUGCCUUUGUUUACAUUCCACCAGGCAAGCAGCUAAAGCUGGGGAUCAUGGACACAGCAGGUUCCUGGUCUACAGACAGAGGGAAGUGGUGACCCCUGGCAGCCCCCAUCUAAAUAAACGUUACCAGGGGUUACAUUUUGCAUGAAAAACAUUUAGGUGGAACACUGCCAUGGGCAAAUGAGAGGAACAAAUUCUGCUCUCAAGGGUUUUAAGAGAGGGGUUUUCCACCUCCAAAUUUUUUUUUUUUUUUCUUUUUUUUUUUUUUUUUUUUUUCCCCUCUUAAAUGUCUUUACAUCAUGGCAGGGAAGGGGGAACAGGAGCUUUUCUGCUGGACCCACCAGCAUCUCAUCCAGACAAACCUGUCUGGAAACAUAAGUGCCAAGUUAAAGGAUGGUCUGUCCCUAAGCAAGGUGACUGUUCCAGAUCUGCUUCAAGGAGGAAGUGGGGGUGCCAGAACCACAUCUAAGGGUGGCUCUGGCUCCUCUGUGAGGCUGCAGCCAGAGAUUGCUCUGGCAGGGCAGCAGCACCUCCUUGCUUACAGCCAAAUGUGGAGGAACGGGCCCUGCUGCUCCUUCUCAGGGCCCAGCAAUUACAGCAGCUACUUCAAUGCUGACCAGGUGGUCUCUCUCUCCUGCUGCCCUCCCACCCCAAGUGUUGUUUGCGAAGAUCUUGCUGCUUCUCCUGGACAAGGAACUUUCACUUCACAGAGGUUUGCAUUUCCUUGAUCUCUCAGGUGUCCAAGCUGUGGUUUGUGAUGGCCUCUAUCCCCUGCUCUUCUCACAUCACUACCUUGUAGAGCUCAGAUCUGUUUCUAUACUCUGCCAAGUCUUAGAACUCCUCAUCUUCCAGCAUCACUUGGUGUCAAGUUCACUUCAGAGCCUGGUCCAGUUCCUGUAGGGAGAACAGAGUGAGGAGUAUCCUGGAUCACCAAUCUGGCCUUCAUCCCUAUGCUUCUAUCCAGAGGUCAAAACUACUGAAGAGAUCCUGAAAUUGCUCCACAAGGCUUUUUUUUCCAGCUCCUGGGUUGGUUUCCACACAAUAAAAAAGUCUCAGCUAAGUGAGAGCAUGUGGCUGGCUGCAGCUCACUUACUGGUCAGCUGCCUGGGGCUCUGGCUUUCCUGCCUACAGUUGUUAAAGUGGGACUAGAGCUCUGAAUUGAGACCCUACAGGGAAUAAAGGGAAGGCAUUUGGAUAUGCAGAUCUGGAGCCACAGAUGGGAAAAGAUGCCAAAUAGACAAAUUAUUACAGACAGUAGAACCUUUACUUAUCUGGAAAAAAACGUCUGCUUUGUCUUUGAGGUGUCUAAAGCAGCAAGUGGCCGCUGGUGUCAGGUCAUUAAGGAAAUCUGCAGGCUCCAACAGAAAACCACAAUAAACCCCUGCUUAAUCACCAAACAGCUGCUGACCUCUUUGGUGCACAUUCAGCUCAAGGUGCCUUGUCUUUCCUUCAAUCUGAAGUUCAGGCGCAUAUUUCAGUCCUUUCUGAUACCUAUUUUAUUUACAGACUAAGAACCCCACCUCAGAGGGACUGUUGACAUCUACUGUAGCAGGGAUGUGAGAGCAGGGAGAGAUGAAAAACAUUACUAAAAUAGGUUUAAGAGCAACUUAAGCUUGUAAAUUUGCAGGCAGAGGGACUAAGUUAUUCCUGGAGCAUUCCCUGAGGAAAAGACUGGGGAUAUUAUUUAGUUAUCAAAAAACAAAGCCUAAUGCUACUGUUUUGAAGUGAACAAAGUUAAAUACAAGAAACAACCUCUAAUACAGCCAUUCUAGUUGUGUUUGACUGCCCAGAGUUGAUUUAUCUACUCAAUGGGACUGCAAGAGAGAAAUCAGAUUCAUAAUUUCUGGUGGUAGCUAGGCACAAAAUUAUUUUCAAGCCUUGGGGGAAAAAAAAUCCCACGUGGAAAUGGACCUAGUCCCACACAGCAUUUCAGAGAAGAGCAAAAAGCACAAGGGGAAGGGAUUUUUCUGAUCAGACACUACAAGAAGCAAGGUCAAACUGGUAGGAACAGCAUUAAUAGAGUCAACACUGGAUUUAAAGUUCCAGGUAGGCUGGAAAACAUCCUUUAGGUGGUGCAGAAAAUGACCCAUCAGCUUCCCCUCUGCUCUGACAGCUUAGCAGAUGUGACAGCUGUCACAAACUUUCCUCCCUGCCCCCACCAUUACAAAAGGAGUGGAGCAGACAUCCGCCUUGCUGCUGCCGGGAGGAUCUGUUCUGUAAUUUACAGAGGAACAAGGCAGAGCCUGUACCAUGACACACUAUCGUUUUUACUGUUCCCGAGCAGCAGCUGACCAGAACCAGCCAAGACGUGCAGGUUUUGUGCCUGCUGCAGCUCGGGGGGGUCAGCUUAAGCACGAGUUGACAAACAGCACUUAGCUUAUCUCAAGAAGAAACCCGAGCAUACCCCUCAGCAGAUGACAGAGCUGUAAAUCUUGUUAUGUGUAGCCCUAAAAGUAUCAUUAAGACAACUUAGAAUAGUUAGUUUGUAUUAGAUAAGAAAAAUGUUGUCUUGCAGCUAUGCAGAGGAAAACAUCUUACAGUUGUGUGUGCAUUUUGCAUCCACCUGAAAAGCCUCCAGCUAUUUCAGAAGGGCUAAAGGGUUUAAUAAAAGCAUCCCCAAGAGCCUUAAAUCUUAAGGUGAGAAGCUCUCUGAAGAAUGUAAGGCCUGAAGCUGAACUUUAUUUACUUAUAGACAUUUGCUCCUCUGUCUAGUUCUGGUUUCAUGGCACAGGAAGGUUUCCAGUCCAGGGUGUGAGUGGCAUGAAAGUAUGUAACAGUGUGGAGCAUGGGAAAAUGAAGUUGUUUUCUAUGCAUACUCAGGUGAACUAUCACACAGAACCAGAGAGUUCUGGGGAGGGGAAGCACCUGAAAAUAAAUCAGAUUUAUAUAGCUGAACUGUUUGGUUUUUGUUGUGCAGUGGGAAGCUAUUUUGAGUUUCAUUCUUUAGUAUUUAAUAUUUGCACCACUGUCACUAGUAUAGACUGCCAAUUUUCUGUUUAACUGUGAACUUUAGGUUUGCCAGGAGAAGGGUAAGGAAACUUUGAACAACAAGGAGUUCUCUGGGCAUAUAUUUGUCUUGUUCUCUGCUGCUCCAAACAGUAUAUGAGAUAUCCACCUCAAUUUUGACUUAGGAAAAGAAAUCAAUACAUGUCACUGAAGAACACGUAAUACAAGUAGGACAGAGAACAGAGGCUGUUGGAAUCAAUGUCUCUCUGAGUGCUGUUGUCUGAAAUACUGUGACACAGUAGAAAUUGAGAAAGAGCACAUUUAACUAGACUGAUUCUCCUGCCCCAUAUCCAUAUUUCCCCACUCCAACCCCCCCAUGUUGAGCCUACGUAGAUUUGAAAGCUCCAAACAAAGCAAGCAGGAUGUCCUGUGACGGUGGGACAUCACACCAGUGCCACAACCCAGCCUGAAGAAGCUCUCACCACAGCAGUCUCCUGAGCCCUGUGCUGUGGCAGCUACUGUUCUUGAUACAAACCAGAUCUGAUAGCUCCACACUCCAGCUUUUCCUCUGGCUAAAGGAUGUUCUCGUUGCUUUCUAGCAAUUUCAAGUGACUUGUUCAUUUUGGAGUAGCUUUGACAGGAAUGGGUCUUAAAUGAGAAACAUCCAAGAACUGAGUCAGGGAUGGGGGAAAAAUAACCUCUGCAAGCUGGGUCAGGCCUGAAAUUCUCAGCAAUGAAGUCACUCCAUCCAGGAAAGAUUAGUACUGCUCUAGUUGGUGUGAGAGCUGCUGUUGGGCUGGGAGGUCCUGCCCACAGACAGGGUUUGUGAAUGGCUCCUUCAGCCCCACGGGCUGCUGUGGAAACAACACAGAGGGGGCUGGGAGCCCACAGAGCCUGCUGAGGCCAGAGAGAAAGCAAUCGAAACUCAUGGACAAAACAAGUGGUUUGAUGCUAACUUUAGUAAGUAAAGUUUUCCAGAUAAAGGCAGUUGCAUCCAUAUUUAACAGCUGUUAAAGAGAUACACAUUUAAUUAUAUGAGGAGUGCUUUAUAUUCAAGAGAAAACAUUUGAAGUGUCUUAAUUCUACCUGUUUGGAAUCCAGACUUUCUCCCUAGAAGAUAUUCCAGUUGACAAAAAGGGCCUUGUUCAGAUAUCUGGGAUCAACUGAAUACAUUUAUUUAAAAGCAAUUUUAAAUAUUAAAAAAGUAGAAAUUAACACAUACAGUACUCAAAAACUGUCACAUUAAAUACAUGUGAAUAGACAUGUGUACUGAUGUUUUACCUUAACAUUCAAUGAGAAGUCAAGAUUUUAACUAGUGGCAUGACCAGAUCUGAUUUCUGUACACGUUGAUGUACUAUGUAAUAAAAAAAUAAAUAGCAACUGUUGUUCAACAGUAAAUAAGACAUCAUCUGCAGAGCAAACUUCCCCCUCUGGGGGCACCUUCCCCUGCCCCUCCCCCCAACCCUU